rnacentral:lncRNA from 1 species
UAUGUGCACAUUAAACCUACCUGGAAAGGGGCCAUCAAUCUGGAGAGGGGCACAGCUGAUUUCUGUCAGGCUUCAACUUGGUAUUUAUUAAGCUAAGUCUGUAUAUCCUUUAGCACUGAGUGAAACAUGACCAUCCUUAACUUACCCAAGGUAGAGGCAGCAGGAGAAAACAAAGCAGCUAGGAAAGAAAAGAAAAUACAAUUGUGUUUUACAAAGAGCUAGAUCAAAUAAGUGUAUUUAAUAACUGUCAGCAUUUUGACUUCAGAUUAAUGUACAGAUUACACUGAUUCAACAUGGUUUAAAGGAUGCAACUGUCAAUACUGAGCUGGGGUGUAGAGGCCUCCGGCAGCCCUCCUCUGGUAGAGGCUGUCUGCUCCUUCAUUCUUUUUUUUUU